ensembl:lncRNA
AUGUCUCUUGCUGUCUGUUCUUUAUCUGUCUCUCUCAACUCUGUCUCUUUAUCAGUCUCUCUCCAUCUCUUGGUCUGUCUUUCCAUUUCCUUCUCCCUGUCUCUGUCUGCGUACCUGUCAUUUUGUCUGUCUGCCUUUCAGUCUGAUUCUCUCAGCAGUCUGUCUGUCUCACUGUCCACCUGUCUCUCUGUCCAUCAAUUUGUGUCUCUGUGUGUCUGUCCAUCUCUCAGUUUGUAUCUAUCUGUUCCCCAUUUACUCCUGUCUCUGUCAGUCUCUUGCUCUAUUAUUGUCUCUCUGUCACUCUCACUGUUUCUCUGCCUGUCUUUCUGUCUGCCUGCCUGUCAGUCUGUCUUAUCCAGUCACUCUCGAUCUGUCUUUUUCCAUCGGUCUUUCUUGUUCUCUGUCCAUGUCUCUGUCUCGGACUAUGUGUGUAUCUGUCUUUCUCCCUGCCUGUCCAUCUCUAUCUGGAUCUGUCCCUCUGUUCAUCUCUCAGUUUGCCUGUCUCUCUGUUUCUGUGUCUGCCUGCCUCAACGUGAAUCAGUCUCUCCAUCUGUCAGUCACGCUGCCUAUCCCUUUCCCUGUCUCUCUCCACUUGUCUAUGUGUUUGUCUCUCAAUGUCUCCCUCUGAGUAUCUGUUUCUCACUAUAUCUGUCUCUAUUACUCUCUCUCUCUCGCCAUCUAUCACUGUCUUACUAUGGCUGUGUCUACAGUCUCUUUCAUUCUAUUUGUCUCUCUGUUGGUCUGUCACUCUCUGUGUCUCUGUCUCGCUGUCUUUCAGUGUUUCUGUCAGUGUGUCUGUCACUCUCCAUCUGUUUUGCUCUCACUCUGUCCCUGUGACUGCCUCUCUCUGGCUCUGUCACUCUGCCUGGCUCUGUCUGCCUGGCUCACUAUCUCUGGAUGUGUGUCUCUCAGUCUGUAUUUCCUCUAUCUGUCUCUUUGUGUCUCUGUCCACCUGCUUGCCACUCACUGUCUCCCUUGCUAUUUGUCUUUCCAUCCGUCAUUCUAUCCAUCUCUCCCUCUGCCUGCCUCUCUCCCUUUGCGUGGCUGUUUGCCUCUGUUAGUCUAUCUCUAUCCCUCUCUCUUUCUGUUUGUCUCUCUGUGUCUGUCACCUAUUUUCUGUCUUUUUCUGUCUGUUUUUCUUUCUGCAUGUCUGUCUCUCUUGAUCUGUCUUUCUGCCUCUGUCUCUAUCAGUCUCUUUUUCUGUCACUCUGCCUGUAACUGUCCGUCUCUGCCUGUUUCUCUACAUACCUGUCAUUCCGUCUGUCUCUCUCCCUAUCUCUCUGCCCACGUCUCUCUGCCUGUCUCCUAGUUUGUCCCUCUUGCUAUAUCUUUAUCUGUUACUCUUUCUACCUCUCAGUGUCUCUGCCUAUCUCUGUCACUUUCACUGUCUCUUGGUGUCAUGUUCUCUCUCUGGCUGUCAGGCCAACUGUUUCUUUUUUGCCUGACUCCCUCUUACUUUGUCUCAAUCUGUGACUGUCUCCCUAUAUUCCCACCAGGCUCUCCCUUUUUUCUGUCUCUCCAUGUCUGUCUCACUCGAUCUCCUUGUCCAUCUGUGUCUGUUGCUCUAUCUGUCCUACUCUCUCUGUGUAUCUGUGUCUUCUCUGCAUGUCUGUGUCCCUUUCAAUCUCUCUGUCCAUAUGUCUCUUGCUGUCUCACUGAAUUUGUCUGUCUUCUCUGUUUAUCUCUCAGUCCAUUUGUCUCUUUCGCUGUCGAUUUCUCUGCAUAUAUAUAUAUAUAUAUCCUUCUGUGUAUAUCUCCAUCUUCCUCUGUAUCUUCCUCUCUGUGUCUUUCUGUUUCUCUGUCUAUAUCUCUGUCCAUCUGUCUCUCUAUAUUUUUG